rnacentral:snRNA from 1 species
GUGUUCUCCUUGGUAGCUCAUAAACUAAGAUUGGAAUGAUACAGAGAUUAGCAUGGCCCCUGUGCAAGGAUGACAUGUAAAUUUGUGAAGUAUUUCAUAUUUUU